rnacentral:rRNA from 1 species
UAGCAUAUCAAUAAGCGGAGGAAAAGAAACCAACAGGGAUUGCCCUAGUAACGGCGAGUGAAGCGGCAACAGCUCAAAUUUGAAAUCUGGCUCUUUCAGAGUCCGAGUUGUAAUUUGCAGAGGGCGCUUUGGCUUUGGCAGCGGUCCAAGUUCCUUGGAACAGGACGUCACAGAGGGUGAGAAUCCCGUACGUGGUCGCUAGCUAUUGCCGUGUAAAGCCCCUUCGACGAGUCGAGUUGUUUGGGAAUGCAGCUCUAAAUGGGAGGUAAAUUUCUUCUAAAGCUAAAUAUUGGCCAGAGACCGAUAGCGCACAAGUAGAGUGAUCGAAAGAUGAAAAGCACUUUGGAAAGAGAGUCAAACAGCACGUGAAAUUGUUGAAAGGGAAGCGCUUGCAGCCAGACUUGCUUGCAGUUGCUCAUCCGGGCUUUUGCCCGGUGCACUCUUCUGUAGGCAGGCCAGCAUCAGUUUGGGCGGUGGGAUAAAGGUCUCUGUCACGUACCUCUCUUCGGGGAGGCCUUAUAGGGGAGACGACAUACCACCAGCCUAGACUGAGGUCCGCGCAUCUGCUAGGAUGCUGGCGUAAUGGCUGUAAGCGGCCCGUCUUGAAACACGGACCAAGGAGUCUAACAUCUAUGCGAGUGUUUGGGUGUCAAGCCCGAGCGCGUAAUGAAAGUGAACGGAGGUGGGAACCCGCAAGGGUGCACCAUCGACCGAUCCUGAAGUUUACGGAAGGAUUUGAGUAAGAGCAUGGCUGUUGGGACCCGAAAGAUGGUGAACUAUGCUUGAAUAGGGUGAAGCCAGAGGAAACUCUGGUGGAGGCUCGCAGCGGUUCUGACGUGCAAAUCGAUCGUCAAAUUUGGGCAUAGGGGCGAAAGACUAAUCGAACUAUCUAGUAGCUGGUUCCUG